CGUCAAUGAUGUCCUAAUCUACGAUUUAAUUCGAAUUGCUGUGAGAUAAUCUGAUGCAAAACAACUGAGACU
rnacentral:snoRNA from 14 species